rnacentral:misc_RNA from 1 species
UCUGAUAUUUAAAUAGCUGUCCUUACAGUCAAUAAACGAUCUUUCGGAACGUUCAAAGAUUCUAUAAGCAGGGGUUGCGCUCGUUAAGGGAAUUAACCGAACAUUUCACAACACGAGCUGACAACAGCCAUGCAACACCUGUUAGGAAAUCAUCUCGAGGAAAUCGUAGCAUCUCCCCAGAUUCUAAAGCCAACUAGACUUUAACCUUUCCACUGUCCAGGGCUGGUAAGGUUCUGCGCGUUACUUCGGAUUAAACCACAUGCUCCACCGCUUGUACAAAUUUCAGUCAAUUUCUUUGAAUUUCAACCUUGCGGCUGUACUACUCAGGCGGAAUGCUUAACGCGUUAGCUAGAGCACCGGAGUAAAAAUCUCCAACGCUGAACAUUCAUCGUUGACGGCG